GCGAUAUCCCUAGUACUUACAAGGAUUCCCCUAGAUACUUAACAAGGAUUCCCCUAAUACUUAACAAGGAUUCCCCUUGUACUUAACAAGGAUUCCCCUUAUACUUAGAGGGAUUCCCCUUAUACUUCACAAGGAUUGCCCUAAAACUUCCGCGUUUCGAUUAGUCUUAAAAGGAUUCCCCUUGGGAUUGCUGGGAUUCCCGGGAUAAUUACUCCGUCUAACGCUAAAUAUCGGGGAGAGACCGAUAGCGAACAAGUACCGUGAGGGAAAGAUGAAAAGCACUUUGGAAAGAGAGUUAAAAGUACGUGAAAUUGUCUAAAUGGAAGCGCUUGAAGUCAGCCAUGCGGCUGGGGACUCACCUUGGCGUCUCGCUGAGGGUAUUUCUCCAGUAGCAAGUCAGCAUUGGUUUGCGGCGCCGGAGAAGGGUCCAGGGAAGGUGGCACCCUCGGGUGUGUUAUAGCCCUGGACUGGAUACGGCGCUGCGGACCAAGGAACGCAGUGUGUCCUCGUGGGGGGUCUUUGGACACCUUCCACUUAGGAUGCUGGGCGUAAU
rnacentral:rRNA from 1 species